UACGUAGGUGGCAAGCGUUGUCCGGAAUUACUGGGCGUAAAGUGUGCGCAGGCGGCAGAGCAAGUCGAGUGUGAAAGCCCCGGGCUUAACUUGGGAAUUGCGCUCGAAACUACUUUGCUGGAGUGUGGCAGAGGAAGGUGGAAUUCCACGUGUAGCGGUGAAAUGCGUAGAGAUGUGGAGGAACACCAAUGGCGAAGGCAGCCUUCUGGGCCAACACUGACGCUCAUGCACGAAAGCGUGGGGAGCAAACAGG
rnacentral:rRNA from 1 species